rnacentral:RNase_P_RNA from 2 species
GAGAGUAGGCGCAGGUGGUUGCAGAUCAGUUUCAAUGAGACUGGUUUGAGGAAAGUCCGGGCUUCCGAAAGACCAAACUUGCUGGGUAACGCCCAGUGCGAGUGAUCGUGAGGAUAGUGCCACAGAAAGAUACCGCCUGCUAAGGUAAAACCCUUCGGGUUUUACCUUAGCAGGUAAGGGUGCAAAGGUGCGGUAAGAGCGCACCAGCAGCGUCGAGAGGCGCUGGCUCGGUAAACCCCGGUUGGGAGCAAGGCGAAAGGAGCUAUGGUUGGUCUUUUACCAGUUCCGUUAUCCAAGAGCCGCUAGAGGCAUCUGGUAACAGAUGUCCCAGAUAGAUAACUGCCCUCGAAAGAGAACAGAACCCGGCUUAUGUCCUGCUCUCUCUC